UUAAGCGACUAAGCGUACACGGUGGAUGCCCUGGCAGUCAGAGGCGAUGAAGGACGUGCUAAUCUGCGAUAAGCGUCGGUAAGGUGAUAUGAACCGUUAUAACCGGCGAUUUCCGAAUGGGGAAACCCAGUGUGAUUCGUCACACUAUCAUUAACUGAAUCCAUAGGUUAAUGAGGCGAACCGGGGGAACUGAAACAUCUAAGUACCCCGAGGAAAAGAAAUCAACCGAGAUUCCCCCAGUAGCGGCGAGCGAACGGGGAGCAGCCCAGAGCCUGAAUCAGUGUGUGUGUUAGUGGAAGCGUCUGGAAAGGCGCGCGAUACAGGGUGACAGCCCCGUACACAAAAAUGCACAUGCUGUGAGCUCGAUGAGUAGGGCGGGACACGUGGUAUCCUGUCUGAAUAUGGGGGGACCAUCCUCCAAGGCUAAAUACUCCUGACUGACCGAUAGUGAACCAGUACCGUGAGGGAAAGGCGAAAAGAACCCCGGCGAGGGGAGUGAAAAAGAACCUGAAACCGUGUACGUACAAGCAGUGGGAGCACGCUUAGGCGUGUGACUGCGUACCUUUUGUAUAAUGGGUCAGCGACUUAUAUUCUGUAGCAAGGUUAACCGAAUAGGGGAGCCGAAGGGAAACCGAGUCUUAACUGGGCGUUAAGUUGCAGGGUAUAGACCCGAAACCCGGUGAUCUAGCCAUGGGCAGGUUGAAGGUUGGGUAACACUAACUGGAGGACCGAACCGACUAAUGUUGAAAAAUUAGCGGAUGACUUGUGGCUGGGGGUGAAAGGCCAAUCAAACCGGGAGAUAGCUGGUUCUCCCCGAAAGCUAUUUAGGUAGCGCCUCGUGAAUUCAUCUCCGGGGGUAGAGCACUGUUUCGGCAAGGGGGUCAUCCCGACUUACCAACCCGAUGCAAACUGCGAAUACCGGAGAAUGUUAUCACGGGAGACACACGGCGGGUGCUAACGUCCGUCGUGAAGAGGGAAACAACCCAGACCGCCAGCUAAGGUCCCAAAGUCAUGGUUAAGUGGGAAACGAUGUGGGAAGGCCCAGACAGCCAGGAUGUUGGCUUAGAAGCAGCCAUCAUUUAAAGAAAGCGUAAUAGCUCACUGGUCGAGUCGGCCUGCGCGGAAGAUGUAACGGGGCUAAACCAUGCACCGAAGCUGCGGCAGCGACGCUGAUGCGUUGUUGGGUAGGGGAGCGUUCUGUAAGCCUGCGAAGGUGUGCUGUGAGGCAUGCUGGAGGUAUCAGAAGUGCGAAUGCUGACAUAAGUAACGAUAAAGCGGGUGAAAAGCCCGCUCGCCGGAAGACCAAGGGUUCCUGUCCAACGUUAAUCGGGGCAGGGUGAGUCGACCCCUAAGGCGAGGCCGAAAGGCGUAGUCGAUGGGAAACAGGUUAAUAUUCCUGUACUUGGUGUUACUGCGAAGGGGGGACGGAGAAGGCUAUGUUGGCCGGGCGACGGUUGUCCCGGUUUAAGCGUGUAGGCUGGUUUUCCAGGCAAAUCCGGAAAAUCAAGGCUGAGGCGUGAUGACGAGGCACUACGGUGCUGAAGCAACAAAUGCCCUGCUUCCAGGAAAAGCCUCUAAGCAUCAGGUAACAUCAAAUCGUACCCCAAACCGACACAGGUGGUCAGGUAGAGAAUACCAAGGCGCUUGAGAGAACUCGGGUGAAGGAACUAGGCAAAAUGGUGCCGUAACUUCGGGAGAAGGCACGCUGAUAUGUAGGUGAAGCGACUUGCUCGUGGAGCUGAAAUCAGUCGAAGAUACCAGCUGGCUGCAACUGUUUAUUAAAAACACAGCACUGUGCAAACACGAAAGUGGACGUAUACGGUGUGACGCCUGCCCGGUGCCGGAAGGUUAAUUGAUGGGGUCAGCGCAAGCGAAGCUCUUGAUCGAAGCCCCGGUAAACGGCGGCCGUAACUAUAACGGUCCUAAGGUAGCGAAAUUCCUUGUCGGGUAAGUUCCGACCUGCACGAAUGGCGUAAUGAUGGCCAGGCUGUCUCCACCCGAGACUCAGUGAAAUUGAACUCGCUGUGAAGAUGCAGUGUACCCGCGGCAAGACGGAAAGACCCCGUGAACCUUUACUAUAGCUUGACACUGAACAUUGAGCCUUGAUGUGUAGGAUAGGUGGGAGGCUUUGAAGUGUGGACGCCAGUCUGCAUGGAGCCGACCUUGAAAUACCACCCUUUAAUGUUUGAUGUUCUAACGUGGACCCGUAAUCCGGGUUGCGGACAGUGUCUGGUGGGUAGUUUGACUGGGGCGGUCUCCUCCUAAAGAGUAACGGAGGAGCACGAAGGUUGGCUAAUCCUGGUCGGACAUCAGGAGGUUAGUGCAAUGGCAUAAGCCAGCUUGACUGCGAGCGUGACGGCGCGAGCAGGUGCGAAAGCAGGUCAUAGUGAUCCGGUGGUUCUGAAUGGAAGGGCCAUCGCUCAACGGAUAAAAGGUACUCCGGGGAUAACAGGCUGAUACCGCCCAAGAGUUCAUAUCGACGGCGGUGUUUGGCACCUCGAUGUCGGCUCAUCACAUCCUGGGGCUGAAGUAGGUCCCAAGGGUAUGGCUGUUCGCCAUUUAAAGUGGUACGCGAGCUGGGUUUAGAACGUCGUGAGACAGUUCGGUCCCUAUCUGCCGUGGGCGCUGGAGAACUGAGGGGGGCUGCUCCUAGUACGAGAGGACCGGAGUGGACGCAUCACUGGUGUUCGGGUUGUCAUGCCAAUGGCACUGCCCGGUAGCUAAAUGCGGAAGAGAUAAGUGCUGAAAGCAUCUAAGCACGAAACUUGCCCCGAGAUGAGUUCUCCCUGACUCCUUGAGAGUCCUGAAGGAACGUUGAAGACGACGACGUUGAUAGGCCGGGUGUGUAAGCGCAGCGAUGCGUUGAGCUAACCGGUACUAAUGAACCGUGAGGCUUAACCUU
rnacentral:rRNA from 1 species